CAGGUGUGAAAUCUCUCAGGUAACGACCACGGCGGUCCCCGUGUAGCUUCGAGAGAUGGAGUCACUGUCCCUCAUACCAAGCACAGAGUUGGACUUGCGUUCAUCCCUCCCCCACUGGAAAGAAAAUAUGGGCCAGAACUGAGGCAGAGUGAGCCACCACCAGCCCCAGUCUCCUAAUCUGCCUCCUGGGGUGAGCCCAGGGCACUGGGAGUGGGGAUUUGGUGAUCCUGGUCCAUCGCCAGAUGCGGAGCAUGGUGACCCUCCAGUCUGAUACCAAACAAACCCUCCAUGUUGUCAGGAUGUUGAUGGAUGUUGACGUUAUAACCCUUGCUGGCCUCGCACAGCCCAUCCCUCGUCCCUGCCAACUGCCCCAAGACAUGCAGCUGAAGCAUCCUGGAACAGACGGAGGGAGGGAGGGAGGAAGAGUAAGGGAGGGAGAUCUAAAGAUGCAGAAUGCACUGCCAAGUGGCCAGGAAGUAGCCCUAUUGUUUUCAGGGUCCCCUCGCUUUUCCUUUCAGAGCCACCAGAGGUCUGCUCUCUCCCAUC